UACAGAGGUCUCAAGCGUUGUUCGGAUUCAUUGGGCGUAAAGGGUGCGUAGGUGGCGCGGUAAGUCGGGUGUGAAAUUUCGGAGCUUAACUCCGAAACUGCAUUCGAUACUGCCGUGCUUGAGGACUGGAGAGGAGACUGGAAUUUACGGUGUAGCAGUGAAAUGCGUAGAGAUCGUAAGGAAGACCAGUGGCGAAGGCGGGUCUCUGGGCCUUACCUGACGCUGAGGAGCGAAAGCAUGGGGAGCAAACAGG
rnacentral:rRNA from 1 species